AAUUUGCAAGACAGACAGGAAAGGUGUUUCUACACUGUAGAAUGAAUGCAGCUUGACAUCACCUGAACUGCCAUGGCUCAUUGCUAUGGAAACGUGGGAUUUGUGGGCUGAAGCCUUCUCUAUAAUACAUGCAAUGACAGGAAAAGGAACUCACUAAUACAAUCCUCUGAGCUGCUGAAUUUGCAGGCUGAAAGGUCGGUGGUUCGAAUCCAGGAAGUGGAAUUAACUCCUUCUCAGGAAGCUAACGGCGCCCCAUGCAGUGAUGCUGGCCACAUGCCCUUGGAGGUGUCUAUGUACAAUACCAGCUCUUCAGCUUAGAAAUGGAGAUGAGACCAACCCCCAGAGUCGGACAUAACUGGACAAUGUCAUGGGAAAACCUUACCCUACCUUAAUAUAACUCCUAGAGAUAGCACAAUGUCACCAAGAGUUUUUGGAACUUCAGUUUCCAACAAAGCUGUUGUUCCAUCCCCCCGUUGAGUGAUGUAAUGGAGAGCUUGUGACUGGAUUUCUCUGCAGCUUCAGAAACCAUCCUUGCAAGGCAUUAUUUCCACUCGUGAUGUUACAUGUCUCCAUUUCCAGCUCUGGGUGAAAGCCAACGACUGAAAUGUAAACUCGCUCAGACGACCAAGUCUGUUAUUUUCCAGCGAAGUGUGAAAUAGAAUAAAUUCCUGUUCUGGUGGAACCCAACAGAAGAAGAGGAAAAAGCUGUCAUGUUGCAAAAAAAAAAAAAAAAAAAAAAAAAAAAAAAAAAAAAACAGCAAAGCCACCAGACCAAGCAAGGAAAGAUUAACAAAAGCCAGAAUCCAGAGGUUUAGGUGAAGUAAGAGAAGACCUCUAUGGGCUUAAGGUGUUCCUUUGGCACACUCAGGCGAUGGUUAAAAUGUUUAUUUCCAAGAGUCAUAAGGGUUUUUCCCAAAUUUCCUCUUCAGACAUAACACUUGUAACCUGGAAUAGACAAGGAAGGGGUGUAGCUCAGUGGUGGAUCGGCAGGUUUGAAUGCAGCAGACCCUAAGAUGUCUAGGUGGAAGAAACGUCUAUCUCUAACUCGUGGAAAGCUGUUGCUACUCAAGGUAUAGAGCAGAAAAUAGGUGAUGUAUGUGUAGAUCACAGGGCUAUUUUUGGGCUAAAAAAGAAAUCAAAAGAAAUAAUUCCUAAAUUACUUCUAAGCAUUAUGGCGACAUGAUUGCCAUCGCCAUUUAGACUGAUUUAGACUCCAAAAGGAAUUCAAAACAUGAUUCUUCAGAAAGGUCUCUCCAUAGCUCCAUAGGGGCCGGGCUGUGGCGCAGCUGGCUAGUAACCAGCUGCUAUAAAUCACUAUUGACCGAGAGGUCAUGAGUUCGAAGCCCGGGUCGGGUUAAGCCUCCAACCAUUAAAAAAAAAUAGCCCCGGCUUGCUGUUGACCUAGCAGCCCCGAAAGACAGUUUCAUCUGUCAAGUAGGGAAAAUUUAGAUAUGCUUUAUGCGGGAGGCUAAUUUAACUAAUCUACAACACCAUAAAACUGCUCACGAGGAAAAGAAUGAGGAAGAACAGCCACCAAUGGACGGUGAAGCAACAGCUCCCCCUGUGGCCGGAAUCGUGAAGCUGGAAAGAUGUUAAAAUGCCUCUGUGUCUGUCUAAAAAACUGAAUGUUGUUUGUCUGUUGGCAUUGAAUGUUUGCCAUAUAUGUGUUCAUUGUAAUCCGCCCUGAGUCCCCUUCGGGUGAGAAGGGCGGAAUAUAAAUACUGUAAAUAAAUAAAUAAAUAAAUAAAUAAAUA